AUACGGAGGAUGCAAGCGUUAUCCGGAUUUAUUGGGUUUAAAGGGUGCGUAGGCGGUUUGCUAAGCGGGAGGUGAAAUGCCGGCGCUCAACGUCGGAAGUGCCUCCCGAACUGGUGGACUUGAAUGACUCUGCCGUGGGAGGAAUGUGUAGUGUAGCGGUGAAAUGCUUAGAGAUUACACAGAACACCGAUUGCGAAGGCAUCUCACGAAGGGUUGAUUGACGCUGAGGCACGAAAGCGUGGGGAUCAAACAGGAUUAGAUACCCUGGUAGUCCACGCAGUAAACGAUGAUGGCUAACCGCUGGGCUUAUCAGUUCAGUGGCCAAGCGAAAGCGAUAAGCCAUCCACCUGGGGAGUACGACCGCAAGGUUGAAACUCAAAUAAAUUGACGGGG
rnacentral:rRNA from 1 species